CCCCCUCUCUCCAGAAAGAAAGAUCACAUCCAUCACAUCUGUUUCCCAGCUCGAUCCCCUUUGCCUGGUCAACGUUCGAUGCUGGAGCUGGCGAUGAAGCAUGGAGGAGCAGAGGAGCACCGGCGUUGAUGCACUGCUCCAUCGUCUCGCCGGGGCCGUCGUAUUCCCUGCUGCCUCCCUGACUCACCGUUCGCGAGCACCCCGCGGCCUUCGGCGCGCUUAGGCCGUCAUCUCCCUGCGUGUGUGGCGUCGUCCAUGCCGACAUCUCCCUUCGGCGCAUGGCGUCCCGGGGGCCGGCGUCUACCUCCCUCGUGUGGCUCACCGUGGCUGCAUCAAUCUAUAUCUACGCAAGGCAGCCAUCUUCAAUCUGACGUGCGUGACGGCGUCCUGGUCGCCAUCGAUCUCCUGCUCGUUGGCUAGGCAUCGGAGCCUGCAAGCUGUGGCAACCUCCCAGUGCAUGGAUGCAUCGACCUUGAGUAGUGGCUGUCGCUGCCAUCCCGUUCAUGGCAGACUCUUUUUCCUCUCGUGUGUGUGUGUGUUUCUUUCUCUCAUGGUGUGUGUGGAUUGACGUUUACUAGUUGGCUCAUGUCAGGUGGAUGGAUCUGAGUGCUAGCUUCGUGUGUGUCGUGUGCAUAUGGAUCUGAAUGCUAGUCACAUAGUGUUGAAUUCAUGUCCCUUGCUGUGUGUAUGUAUGGAGAUCAAAUCGAUAUAUACAAAAUUGAUUCUAGUUGGAAUUGCUACCCUCUAUGAA
rnacentral:rRNA from 1 species